rnacentral:tRNA from 1 species
UCCCCGGUAGCUCAAUGGCAGAGCGGGUGGCUGUUAACCACUAGGUUGGCGGUUCGAGUCCGUCUCGGGGAGCCA